GGAGGCGUGCCGGAGUGGACGAUCGGGCUUGUCUUGAAAACAAGUAUAGCCGUAAGGUUAUCAGAGGUUCGAAUCCUCUCGCCUCCGCCA
rnacentral:tRNA from 1 species